UACGUAGGGUGCGAGCGUUAAUCGGAAUUACUGGGCGUAAAGCGUGCGCAGGUGGUCAUGCAAGACAGAUGUGAAAUCCCCGGGCUUAACCCUGGGAACUGCAUUUGUGACUGCACGGCUAGAGUGCGGCAGAGGGGGAUGGAAUUCCGCGUGUAGCAGUGAAAUGCGUAGAUAUGCGGAGGAACACCGAUGGCGAAGGCAAUCCCCUGGGCCUGCACUGACGGCUCAUGCACGAAAGCGUGGGGAGCAAACAGG
rnacentral:rRNA from 1 species